ACUACGGGUGGCAGCAGUAGGGAAUCUUCCACAAUGGGCGAAAGCCUGAUGGAGCAACGCCGCGUGGGUGAAGAAUGCCCUCGGAUUGUAAAACUUCGUUGUUAGAGAAGUAAGAGCGUGAGAGUAUCUGUUCACGCUUCGACGGUAUCUAACCAGAAAGCCACGGCUAACUACGUGCCAGCAGCCGCGGGAAUACGUAGGUGGCAAGUGUUAUUCGGAUUUAUUGGGCGUAAAGGGAACGUAGACGGUCUUUUAAGUUUGAUGCGAAAGUCUUCGGCUUAACCGGAGUAGUGCAUUGGAUACUGGGAGACUUGAGUACAGAAGAGGUGAGUGGAACUCGAGGUGUAGCGGUGAAAUGCGUAGAUAUAAGGCAGAACACCGGUGGCGAAGGCAGCUCUCUGGUCUGUAACUGACGCUGAGGUUCGAAAGCGUGGGUAGCAAACAGGAUUAGAUACCCGUGUAGUC
rnacentral:rRNA from 1 species